CUCUGACUCCCAGGUGUAUGCUUUCUCUACUAGGCUAUGCUGUUUUCCAGGGCUGCCUGCCUUGAGGUGAGCUUCCAGGCACAGUUUCCCUAUCCCCAAGCCACACGAUAAGAUGCAGCUAACUUCCCUCCAGGGACUAACCUACUCUCCCACAAAUACUAAGCCAUUGGCUCCAAAUCCAAAAGUACACCAAAAUAGCAAUGCCAACAGCAAACCAAUCUUCAAGAGUAACCAUAGUCUCCUUUAACAAACAUUUUUCCUUGUUAGUCUCCUUUUGGAUAGGAACGGAGACCUCAGACAGAAACCCUGAUGAUUCAUACAGGAUGUUCGCAUUCACAGAACUGGCGGUUGAACUUCUGGGAAUCAUUUCACUGCCUCACUGUUUUCUGCAUGACAGUGCAUAAAUGGGCGAAGAAUUACUUAACUGGAGGAACUCAACACACCAGCUCACUUUUGACAUUUGGAUGGAUCACAAAGCUGGCAUUUAAAAGUAUUUUCUUA